rnacentral:lncRNA from 1 species
UUUGUGUUAAUACAUGCUAGAGAAAUGAUAUGUAAAUCUGCCUCCUAAAGCUAUGCCACACAAGAAAAGAAAAAUAAAGGGGAAGAUCAAACACAAAGGCUAGGAGGAUGAUUGAUUAUAUCAAUCCAUAUUUUAUGACACUUAUGACAAACUUAUGCACCAAUCCAAAGUACAUUAAAUGAUUCAUGAUCACUUAGAAGGUAGAUUUGAAAUGACGAAAGUUCAUCAAGCACAAAUCCAUACAUCAUAAACAAG